AUUGAACGCUGGCGGCAUGCUUUACACAUGCAAGUCGAACGGCAGCGCGGGCUUCGGCCUGGCGGCGAGUGGCGAACGGGUGAGUAAUGCAUCGGAACGUGCCCAGUAGUGGGGGAUAGCCCGGCGAAAGCCGGAUUAAUACCGCAUACGACCUGAGGGUGAAAGCGGGGGACCGAAAGGCCUCGCGCUAUUGGAGCGGCCGAUGUCGGAUUAGCUAGUUGGUGGGGUAAAGGCUUACCGAGGCGACGAUCCGUAGCUGGUCUGAGAGGACGACCAGCCACACGGGGACUGGGACAGGGCCCAGACUCCUACGGGAGGCAGCAGGGGGGAAUUUUGGACAAGGGGGCAACCCUGAUCCAGCCAUGCCGCGUGCGGGAAGAAGGCCUUCGGGUUGUAAACCGCUUUUGUUCGGGAAGAAAUCCUCUGGGCUAAUACCCCGGGGGGAUGACGGUACCGGAAGAAUAAGCACCGGCUAACUACGUG
rnacentral:rRNA from 1 species